AGGGAUAUUUUACUCCGCUU
rnacentral:miRNA from 1 species